rnacentral:rRNA from 1 species
AGGAUGAACGCUGGCGGCGUGCCUAAUACAUGCAAGUCGAGCGGUAAGGCCCUUCGGGGUACACGAGCGGCGAACGGCUGAGUAACGCGUGGGAAUCCACCCCAAAGUGAGGGAUAAGCACCGGAAACGGUGUCUAAUACCGCAUAUGGUCUUCGGAUUAAAGUUUUAUACGCUUUGGGAGGAGCCCGCGUCCGAUUAGGUUGUUGGUGAGGUAAUGGCUCACCAAGCCGACGAUCGGUAGCUGGUCUGAGAGGAUGAUCAGCCAGACUGGAACUGAGACACGGUCCAGACUCCUACGGGAGGCAGCAGUAAGGAAUCUUCCACAAUGGGCGAAAGCCUGAUGGAGCAACGCCGCGUGCAGGAUGAAGGCCUUCGGGUCGUAAACUGCUUUUGUUAGCGAAGAAUUUGACGGUAACUAACGAAUAGGAUCGGCUAACUCCGUGCCAGCAGCCGC